rnacentral:misc_RNA from 1 species
UUUUUUUUUUUUUAAUUUUCUUUUUGGGUUUGGGUUUCAAAGAACGGGAUAUUAUUACACGACCCGCAAAAGAAGGCACGCAGCUCUCUCUCUCUCUCUCUCUCUCCCUGUAAUUGAAUCUUAUCUUAUGCUUAUCUUCCCAUCUCUAAAAUGUUUUUGUCACUGUCUCAGUUCCGAGUACUAGUGUGUGUUUUGCGUCAGC